rnacentral:rRNA from 1 species
ACUCCUACGGGAGGCAGCAGUAGGGAAUCUUCCACAAUGGGCGCAAGCCUGAUGGAGCAACACCGCGUGAGUGAAGAAGGGUUUCGGCUCGUAAAGCUCUGUUGUUAAAGAAGAACACGUAUGAGAGUAACUGUUCAUACGUUGACGGUAUUUAACCAGAAAGUCACGGCUAACUACGUGCCAGCAGCCGCGGUAAUACGUAGGUGGCAAGCGUUAUCCGGAUUUAUUGGGCGUAAAGAGAGUGCAGGCGGUUUUCUAAGUCUGAUGUGAAAGCCUUCGGCUUAACCGGAGAAGUGCAUCGGAAACUGGAUAACUUGAGUGCAGAAGAGGGUAGUGGAACUCCAUGUGUAGCGGUGGAAUGCGUAGAUAUAUGGAAGAACACCAGUGGCGAAGGCGGCUACCUGGUCUGCAACUGACGCUGAGACUCGAAAGCAUGGGUAGCGAACAGGAUUAGAUACCCUGGUAGGAAACCG